UCCCUGGUGGCUCAGUGGUAAAGAACCUGCCUGCCAAAUGCAGGAGACACAGGUUCGAGCCCUGAUCGGGGAA
rnacentral:tRNA from 1 species